GACGAACGCUGGCGGCGUGCCUAAUACAUGCAAGUAGAACGCACAGUUUAUACCGUAGCUUGCUACACCAUAGACUGUGAGUUGCGAACGGGUGAGUAACGCGUAGGUAACCUGCCUGGUAGCGGGGGGUAACUAUUGGAAACGUUAGCUAAUACCGCAUAAUAUUAAUUAUUGCAUGAUAAUUAAUUGAAAGGUGCAAUUGCACCACUACCAGAUGGACCUGCGUUGUAUUAGCUAGUAGGUGAGGUAACGGCUCACCUAGGCGACGAUACAUAGCCGACCUGGGAGGGUGAUCGGCCACACUGGGACUGAGACACGGCCCAGACUCCUACGGGAGGCAGCAGUAGGGGAUCUUCGGCAAUGGACGAAAGUCUGACCGAGCAACGCCGCGUGAGUGGAGAAGGUUUUCGGAUCGUAAAGCUCUGUUGUAAGGGAAGAACGAGUGUGAGAGUGGAAAGUUCACACUGUGACGGUAUCUUACCAGAAAGGGACGGCUAACUACGUG
rnacentral:rRNA from 1 species